rnacentral:rRNA from 1 species
CAGCCGCCGCGGUAAUACCGGCGGCCCGAGUGGUGGCCGCUAUUAUUGGGCUUAAAGCGUCCGUAGCCGGGUUGGGAAGUCCUCCGGGAAAUCUGGCCGCUUAACGGUCAGAAUGCCGGAGGAUACUCCCAGCCUAGGGAGCGGGAGAGGCCGAGGGUAUUCCCGGAGUAGGGGUGAAAUCCUAUAAUCCCGGGAGGACCACCUGUGGCGAAGGCGGUCGGCUGGAACGCGUCCGACGGUGAGGGACGAAGGCCAGGGGAGCAAACCGGAUUAGAUACCCGGGUAGUCCUGGCUGUAAACGAUGCGGACUUUGUGUCGGACAAGCUAUGAGCUUGUCCGGUGCCGGAGGGAAACCGUUAAGUCCGCCGCCUGGGGAGUACGGCCGCAAGGCUGAAACUUAAAGGAAUUGGCGGG